CCCUUAGAUGUUCUGGGCCGCACGCGCGCUACACUGAUGCAUUCAACGAGUCUAAAACCUGCUCUGAUAGGGGUGGGCAAUCUUUUGAAUGUGCAUCGUGAUUGGGAUAGAUGAUUGCAAUUUUUCAUCUUCAACGAGGAAUGCCUAGUAAACGCAAGUCAUCAGCUUGCAUUGAUUACGUCCCUGCCCUUUGUACACACCGCCCGUCGCUCCUACCGAUUGAAUGAUCCGAUGAAUAUCAUGGAUUGAGGAUGCAAGUAGGUUAGCCUAUCUUCAUCUUCGAGAAGUGAAGUAAAUCUUAUCAUUUAGAGGAAGGAGAAGUCGUAACA
rnacentral:rRNA from 1 species